UCCCAGGAUAGGGGUCUAAUCAGAGCUGUAGCCACCAGCCUACUCCACAUCAACACUGGAUCCGAGCCAUGUCUGUGACCUAGACCACAGCUCAUGGCAACGCAGGAUCCUUAACCCACUGAGCAAGGCCAGGGAUUGAACCCACAACCUCAUGGUUCCUAGUCGGAAUCAUUAACCACUGAGCCACAUCGGGAAUUCCGAUAAUAAUUUAGUGUAUAAUAUCUAAUCUUAGCUUUUUGCAUCAUAUAAAUGACUUUAUUUGCAUGUGCUUUUCUUCUUAAUUCAUUAUCAUCUUAACAUUUUAUUAGUAAUAAUAAUUAUGACGAAUGAAACUGGGAUUUGCUCCAUUCUUUCAUGUGUCCCACUAGGCCAUUUUCUCCUGGAGAAUCACUGUCACUCAUUACCUUUUAUUUAAAGCCCUUCAGGCAAGAUUAAACACAAGUCAUGUCAAAAUAGCCCCGUGACUUUUUAAAAAUAUAUAUAUUAUAUAUUUUCUCAAAAUCAAGGUAUAAAAAAUAUACAUAACAUGCAUGCACAUGCACAUGCGUAUGCACACACGCGCAUACACACACAACCAUGUACUGAUAGGCAGCUAGAAAGGGGUUGAAAAGUAUGCGAUUUUUUCAAUUCCAUUGGUAGAACUAUGAUAUGGCAUGUUUGACAGACAGAACAGUGGGUUGAAAGUCUGGUGGUUGUUUUCGGAUCCCUCAGAACUCCAUCAACAAAUAGCAGGUUGGCCUUGAGCAAAUCUUAUCCCUUUGCAGCCUCCUCUCUUUUUCUUGACAAUGAGGGUAUCUGAACACUCAGCUUCUAAAACCCUUCCACCUUGAGUAUUCUUUGAUUUGGCCCUGGUAGAAUGCCUUCAGGAGAAAAUUAAUAAGGCAAAAAAUCUUUCCUAUAAAGCUUAUGGAGAAAACAGAAGUGGAGCCUCAAUGAGCAGAAAAUUAAAUUGUUCUCAUAAUGUUGCCACUUUCAAAAAUGCAACUCUGCCAUGUUAAUGUAGGAGAUGCCCUGAAUUCCAUAACAAAUUGACCGAAGAAAAUAUCUAGGUUGUCUAGUAGGUAUAAAAAAUAGCAGACCUACUCAAAAUGAAGGGAAAUGCAUGUUCAAGAAGACACUGCAGAAAUGGGCAGCUCUGGGCCCUCCAGCUCAUCAGUUUACAGUGUUAAAUAAUGAGAGGGAUAAAACCUGUCACCUUCAGACAGAUGGACUUUGAAUCCUCGAGACAGGCUAUGGUCUUUAUCUCAUUUAGUAUCUGUCAUAAUGAUAGGUGAAAAUAUACUCUGCAGUAUUUGUAAGCCUUUCAUCUUAAUGGAUUGAUAGUCCCAGAUGCUGCCCUUUAUGACUGGCUUCCAGCAAAAUAUUCAACAGAACCUCCCAAAUUAGACCAUGAACUCUUGGCAGAAUAGGGAAGCUUUGCAUUAACCUGCUUCUACUCAGCACAUGCAAUAACACUACUAUAAAAAGUGUUUCAAAGCAAACAUGUAAGAAAGGGUAAGUUUAUUUGUACCUAAGCAUAUUUGGCAAAAGAUAAUUUUAUCAUUCAAUAAUAAAAAAUAAUUGAAACUUUUAACUACAGUGAUUAGUAUUUUUAUAUACCAAAUAUAUAUUUUAUUUUAAUUUUACAUAAACAGAUAUUCCUAUGUGGCUUAAAUGGCAAUAACUGAUUAUGGGAAAUGUUUGGUAAUAAAAAUACCUAUUGUUUAUUUUUUUCUUUGAAAAUUGAACUAGAGUUCUCUUGGACUGCAGUAUUUGCAGCAAUUUCAACAACAUUAAGUAAUCAGUGUAAAAUAUCUUUGAUGUGCUUCAGCAACCUUUUGAUAAGUCACGGUAAUAGAUUAGAGAAUUCAAAACAACUCAUGGCUGCCUUUAAAAGCCUGAGAUAGUGUAGUAUCUUCCAAUGUUACAGCAUUUUCGAAAGUUAAAUUAUAAGCAGCCAGGAACUGCUUAUAGACAUUCUUAGACAGUUUCAACUAUUUUUGGAAUGUGUUAAACAUUUUAAACUGAACAAGCUGCAUUUGUACUCCCCUAACAAUACCAGGCUUUAUGAGAGGGCUAGUGGUUUAUUUCUCCAACCAAGGCAUUCAGUAAGCAUUGCUUAAGGAAUCUUUGGUACAUGGUCAUAUAGGCCCUUGGAGGACACAGAAGUUCAAGGAUUUUGAAGUUAGUUUGGGAGAGUAAAAGUGAUAAACUAAUAUUUGGUGUUUCCAAUAGUAAUAACGGAUAUUAAUAGUUGAAUCAAUAGAUUAUAGAGGUGCAAGUCUCUUCUCAAGAAAACAAGCUAGGAAAAUGUGAUUUACAUUUUUCUUUAUUUUUUUUUUUCCUACAGGGUUGACUGAACCACUGUGACUCAACCACAGUGGAGCCUAACAGUAAAACAAAAGAGUCACGUUUUGCUUUCUCUAACUUUAGUGGCCUAGAGAGUAAAUACACAAAACAAGAAUUCCUUCUGGCACAACCCUCUCUGAGCAUUUAUAUGAUUUAAAUUAUUUGUAUGGCAAAGAAUCCUUUGAAGAGUACAUAUUAACAUAAAUCUUAGUCUGAGACACUGAUUUUUUAAGGAGGUAUUUUUGGAGAAAGGAUUUCUCAAAAGUCAAGAAUUUAAAUUUUUGCUAUUUAUUACUAAACUUAUUUCCAAAAACAUUGUAUUAUGGCCAGGCUUAUAUAAUAGUACCCAUUUCAUUGAACUGGAAAAAGGUUGAUAAUUAUCAUUUUAACUGUUUAGAUAAUUUUGUAACAAAAAUGUUUCUUUUUUCUGAUUUCAGGUGAGGUACUCUUCUCAUAUAUUUGUUAGCAAUGUAUGUUGCUUUGAAUUAUUUCUUCAAAUCUGCUACUUUUACCAACUGCAUUUGAAGUUUUCUUGCUAUUUUUUAUAUACCCUUUAUAUACUGAGUUUUUCAAGAUUUUGUCAUAUUUGCUACAAAUGUUUCCCUGACUACUAGUAAACGUUCCGAUUUUGUAUCAUUGUAUUAAUAUAUCUUGAAAGCGAUUUUUUUUAAACUGACUUUUUGGACAAUUCACAUGCUUUUUAUGCACAGAGGCAGAAGCUGAAUUCUUCCCAGAAUUCCAUUCCAUUCCUAUAUUUGGAGCAUACAGGGUGGUGCCCUGCCAUUUGAUUAUUUAGAAAGCUUUUUAUCACCAUCCUUGGGAUUAUCUUUUUCUCAUUGGUGGCAGGAUUUUUUCUUUUCAAAAUGACACACUGAGAAAAUCUAUAAGGGGACACUGCAAUAUUGCAUUAGACAGGAAUGUGGAGGAAGUGGUAUUUCUUUUAUAUUCCAUGUCCCAUGCUAGGAGAGUUAUGUAUAUUUCUUUAAUCUUUAAAAUCCUAGAAUGUUAAUAUAUAGCAAAUUUUAUGCUUCGAAGAUUGUCCUGAAGUUACAUAGUUAAUACGUAAAAAAACACAAAAAACAAAAACCUGGAUUCCAACUCAAAUUUAUCUCAUAACGUGGUAUGACAUUGACUUACCUGGAUGACACUUAGUAAACUUGAUUUAAUUAACAAUUUAUAUGGCAAUGUAUAUGGCCUAAACAAUUACUAUAGGUCUGUAUAUUAAAUUCUUAACUAUGUUUUAAGAUUCCAGACAAUGUCCAAUUAUUUUAGAAGCCAGUCAAAUGUAGACUGAGACUUUUCUUCUUCUAUGCUUUUAUGGCAUGAUUUUAUGCCCUACUGUAUUAUUCUGCAAUUUUCUGUUAAAACUGUCAAUAUAAUAUUCCACACCAAAAUUUAAGCUUCUUGAAAGCCUAUUCUUAAUUUCUCUAUAGUAUCUCCUAGUUUCCACUUCUUGGCUAAAAGUCCAGUUCCUAAGAGGUGAACCUAUGAAAUUACAGUUUAAAGAAAGUAAGAGCAUCACCCAAGGAAAUGGCAUGUGUAUAAACAAAGCAUGGUUGUUACAGGGUAUUGUGAAAUCAUAUACUACUCAUGCAGUAAUAGAAUUGGCAGGGAAAGGAAAUAGUACAUAAGCCAAGAAAUACUCAGGUAUGACUUCGGAUACACAGGAAGAUUUCAGAAAGAAAAGUUCAGAAUAAAAGUUUAGAAUAGCACAAGACAAACUCUACAUUUUACAGUCAAGAACGCUGAGGUAUAUGGAAUGACUGGCCAAUGGGGACUUGCUGUAGAGCACAGAGAAAUGUACCAAAUAUGCUGUGAUAAUCUAUGUGGGAAAAGUAUCUGAAAGAGAAUGUAUGUGCAUAUAUGCACACCUGAAUCACUUUGUUGUACAGCGGAAAUUAUCAAAAUAUUGUAAAUCAACUAUACUGCAAAAAAACUUUAAAAAAUGAAAAAAAAAAAAAGAAUACUGAGGACCUGAUAAGUUAUAUCACUUGAAAUUGGUCACACCAAUUAAAAUGUAAAGAAUGGUUAUCUAUGUAAAUAUCUUAACUAUGCUCAUUCACAAACAACUUUUAAUUAAAACUACUAGUAAAGAAGGUUAAGCACUCAAAGAUAUAAAAGAAAUGACUUCUAUCUUAAAAUAGUUUAAAUUAACAGCAUUUUAACAUUAAUGGGAUUUUUAACUAAGGUCAAUAUAAAGAGUUAAGUUUUUUUUCAGGUAUACUUUAAAAAUCUUUGUUGUUGUUGUUGUUGUUGUUGCCUUUUUGUCAUUUCUAGGGCCACUCCAUGGCAUAUGGAGGUUCCCAGGCUAGGAGUCUAAUCAGAGCUGUAGCCGCCGGCCUAUACCAGAGCCACAGCAACACGGGAUCCAAGCCAUGUCUGCAACCUACACCUCAGCUCACAGCAAUGCCGGAUCCUUAACCCACUGAGCAAGGCCAGGGAUUGAACCUGCAACCUUAUGGUUCCUCCUCAGAUUCGUUAACCAUUGAGCCACGACAGGAACUCCCCAGGUAUAAUUUAAAUCUUCAUUUAGGUUUAUAUUGAGAGGUAAAAAGAGACAGAAAUGGAAUUUAAUUAUGAUUAAUUUUUCUUGCCACUCAUAUAAACUUGAAUUUUUGUUGGCUAUAAGGUACAAAUUCACCUUCUUUCCCUGACAGCAGGUUUUUAUUUGUCACAGGCUUUCAAAGAAAAUGAAGUUGCUGCUUUCUCCUGAGAAAUUCCACUGUUUUGGUGAUUAAGCUUCUUAAGGUCAGGACCCCAGUCCUAUCUUUGUUUUAUGCUUCUCAGAAUACAAUGCGACUUUUGACUACAUUUUAAGUAUUUAAAAACUAUAUGAUAAAAUGAUUUAGUUAUACAUGACCUGCUAAUCUUGUCAAAAUAAGAUUGCAUAGCAAUGAAUCUCACACUGUUCCUAUGUUAAAAAUAAAAUAAAUAAAUAAAUAUAUGGUUCAAUUUCCUUAAACAAUGCAGCCAAACUGAAGCUCAGAAAUCACACUGAUAUAUUCCCUGAGAAACUCCUAUUAUUCUUAUUUACUUAAACAAGUAAAUUUUAUAGAGUACUAUAAAAUAUUAGUAGUAAAAUAUGAAUAUCUCAUUUGUUACCUUUUUAACCCAUAAAACAUAUGUAAAAAUGUUAAUAUAGUGUUAGGAUGUCAUUUUCUAUGUUAAGCAAGGCAUAAAUUGAAUUCCAAAAAAGAGGAAUGACAAAUCUCCUUCAUGCCUUUGCCAACCUCGAUCAAUUGUCAGUGGCUGCCUGGAGUGUUCUUUUUAAAGAGGAAUCGUGAGGCUUUCUGUAGGCUCAGCAGGAAAGCGUGCCAAGAUCAAUUAUUGAUGUCUGCCAUGGGCAUACAAGAGAGUGGAUGACAGUGUAUAAGCCAUGAAUUUUCUUAUCUGUGCACUAGAGCUUGAACUAUGUAGUCAUUUUAAUUAUUAAGACAUAGGCAUAUUCUUGCCAGAUGAGUGUCAUGACAGGAAAAAUAACCUCUAAGAAUGUACACUGACUUUUAGGAGGCUUGUUUACUACUUGUUCCAAUGAAGUGGUAAUAGACCUCUAAAAGGAUUGUCAUUCUUCCAGGGUACUAUUGUCAGAGGAAUAGUGUCCUAGUUCAUAUCACUCACUCUUUCCUUUGUUGACUGUUAAAACAGUUUUCCAGAAAAUUAAAAAACAAAAAAUGACCAGGUGAAUUAUGUGUUACUUUUACUGAAAUGUAUUCAAAUGUGUCUCCUAGUGUCAAAAAAGGGAAAAAAAAAAAUGGAAAUUUGGAGAGGUAAUUGUUUAAAUCCACAGUCUUCUACUGUCCCUCUAUUUCAGAAUAAGAAGAUUUGGCUUUGAUCUCCAACCAGACCAUUUGGUAACAGUGCCUAUGGGGAUCAGAUAAACUAAUAAAUAAAUGUCAAAAUUCUCUGCUUGUGUCCUAAUAUUAAUUAGUGCUAGUAUUACUAUUUACUCCUGCUUUUAUUCACAAUCUUGAUUUCUGAUUUUGAACCUAAUCUCAGUUAUCUGAGUCCAAUUCCUUUUUCUAACUUUCCCAAUGCUUUCUUUUCAAUGUCUUGAUUUUCGAACUAUAUGCUGGCUACAUUAACCUGUCUCAUAAACCUUAAAAUUUUCAGCAGAAUACUUAUUCCCUAACCUAUAAAAUGCUCCCUUGAAAUGCAAAAAUACACAAAUAACAGCAAAUGCUAUCCCCAUUGGAAACAAAAAUAUUUGGUAAAUUCUCUAAUUUCAUUCAUUCAGGUUUGGUAUCAAAGCGAAAUGAUUACAGAGGUAAUUUAAUUUCUUAUUUGCAGAUAUAAGCAACAUUCCUCUAGGAAUUAUAUACUGUUGUACUUGUGAGGAAUAGUAAUCAAGACUAAUAUCUUCAAAUUAGAAAUUACACUGAAAUUUUAUGUAAAAAUUAAAAAACAAUAAAUGAAUGAGAUGUAUCUUUAUGCUGAGUAGAGGCAAUGAAGUAAAUGUUGCUUACAAAUUCUAUAUUAUUUUAUUCACUUUAUAUAUAAUGGGAUAAUUAUAAUUUCCAUGAAAGUUUUUAUAAUACACCAGAAAACUGAAAAUCAUUAUUUUACCUCCUUCUACACAGUAUCACAUCAACAGAUCUUUCCAACUGCACCUUUAAAAUAUAUUGUUGAUACAUUUAUUUUCUCUAACUUUCUGCUACUACCUAUAUAUAAAAUAGAAUCAAAGCUUACUAAUAGUGCUAAAAUAACCCCUCUUUAGUCGCCUAUUUUACACCUGGCCCCAUCACCUCCAAUACAUUUUUUAUCUACCAAUUUGACUUACUUUCAACACGCAUAUCAGAUUGUUCCAUUUUCUUGCCUCAUAUUCACCAAUGGUUUUCUAAUUGCACCGCUUAUUGGGUUUUUAAAUCCCUCAAUCCACACCAUCUUCUUUUUCCACAGGUUCUAGCUACAAAGGCCUUAUAAGUGCUCAACACCACCAUAGCUCUUAUAUUCUUGCCCUGACCUCUAAGCGCUCUAGCUCUUUCUCAUCCUUCUAGGUCUUCAGGUAUCUACUUACCAGUCAUAUGUUAUGUGACUACCUCACCUAAGUAACCCCCAUUCUUUCAUAUAAAAGUCUAUUUAAUUUGUCAUAGUUCUUCCUG
rnacentral:lncRNA from 1 species